rnacentral:lncRNA from 1 species
AUUAUAUAAUUAAAUAAGCAGGAUAAAUGAACUGAAAUUGUUCAUCACUCGACAGCCGGUACUCUCUUCCUCCCCUCUGCAAUGACCAACCAGAGCAGGAUUUUAGAGACACGGAGAGUGAGGUCUUCGUCAGACUAUAGCCAGCCUCUUACUAAUGCAAACUAACUUGCACAUCCUGCAUGUUCAUGGACGUAACUGGAUAUUCAUAUUUGUGAGAAAGUACAAUGAUAAUCAAUUGUACAAUAUGUCUGACAAGUGACAAGCUGAAAAAAGAGAGAACGGGUACCAUUAGUAUUGUUCAGCGUCAGGUGAGGUUCAGACAUGUGUCUUCACGAGUUGUGUUCGCUACCUCUUGUCUCUCUGCUUCUCUUCUUUUCACUCUCGGCCAAGCAUAGAGCAGGAAGCAGCGGCUCUGCUUCCUUCGUCCCUCCUCUCCAUUGUUGCAGAAACAAAACGGCUGCUACAAAAUUUCAGCUUUGCUACAUUAACCCUAUGUUAUGAAUAUCUACCAUGCGAACUAUGUUCUUCAUAUUUUAUUCAAUUUCAGUUGGUCAAAAGCAAAAGCUCCUAAAUUGAAAUAAAGGAAAGCCUAUAAUGUCACCUCACUAAUUGAUUCUUCUAAGCCAAUGACCUUGCCGGUCAUUAGUGCUGGUGGCCUCUGCUGUGGAUAUGCGGAUGAGGGCAGGGAAACCGGUAGCGCUGCCUGCUAUUGGAGCCAGGCAACCAGCAGCCCAUAGUGCAGCUGGUUAGCUAGUCUCCCCGGGGAGAAGCUAGCCGACCAGGGGUUGAACCCUGGUUUGGUGCCUUUUAGGUGGGGGUUUAUUGGAGCCAGCGGUCGUUGGACUGGAACUUAGAAAUUAGAUAUUUUGGUUGACUUUGUGCCUUUCGGAUGGCAGUCCAGAACUUCAGAUCUGCUGGAGCACAGAGAGAGCUUCUUCCUUGGCGUAGUGGGUGGGAGACCCUCGCGUGGAACCGGUGGCCGGAGGGUGUUCCAAACAUGGAACCUCCAGAUUAAUGCUUUUAUAUGAAGCGAGGAUAAAAAUGUAAGAGAUACAAAAACUAGAUCGUAAGCAUACUAUAAAAAAAAACUAGAUCGUAAGCACACUAUAAACGCAGGGUGUUACAGAUGAGGCUGAGGGCACGGCCGUGCGCGUGUGGAUGGUGAUGAGUCGCACGGGCGGAUGUUAGCCAGGCAGCGGG